ensembl:lncRNA
UGUGGCUCACAACAUAACUACUCGGCAUUGCUUCUGCAGUGGCUGCUAGGGGUCGAAUCGGAGCUGUAGCCACGGGCCUACGCCAGAGCCACAGCAACGCGGGCUCCGAGCCGCGUCUGCAACCUACACCACAGCUCACGGCAACGCCGGAUCGUUAACCCACUGAGCAAGGGCAGGGACCGAACUCGCAACCUCAUGGUUCCUAGUCGGAUUCGUUAACCACUGCGCCACGACGGGAACUCCGAAAAUAUAUUUUCACUUGUCCCUUUCAUAAUACUUCUGGAGUAGAACAAUCUUAGAUAGACUCAGCAUAUUUGUACUUUGUAGGAACGCUUACAAAACUUUAUGUGGAAUCUUGCAUAUUCAUUUCACUUGGAAAAUGUCAAAUGAUUGACAUGACAGAGUCACAUAUGUAGCUCCUGUCUCUUCAGGAGAGCAUGUAGGAAUAGAACAUGUGGCAAACUGAUAAGAAAAGGUAACAGCAGGAAUAUUCCAUCAGUUUCUAUAAAGAUUAGCAGCAGGACCCAGCUCACAAGGGAGCACAGUCCACUCACAGCACAAUUUUGAGCUAAAGAGAGCCAGGGUGUGGGACAAAGGCUAUAGAAAGGUGGUGUAGAUAAUUGGCUAGUCACUAACUAACUCUCUGAAUUAAAUGUCUCAUUGUGCCUCUUUACUUGUUUUUUUAUUAUUACUACAAUACUUUUAAUAGUAUUGAUAAUGCAGUGAAAAUGAAAUGUGAGGUUAACUUUUCAAAGUUAAAAACAACAACAGGAAAUAAUAAAAUGUUAUUUGGUCAAAAUAUAGUUUUAAUAUAUUUGAUUUUUACCAAUAAAAACAUAUUGACACUAUUAGAAAUAAGGAGUAUCUGGUGUAUAGUUAAAUAAAGCAUAACAUUUUCAUAUGAACUGCAUAUAAAAAAAAUAAAAUGAUGCUUUCUUGCAUUGAGGAAUGCUUUUAUGAUUAUUGAAGCUAUUUAUGCAAGAGUACAUCUUUACAAAGAAAUACAAAAUGCCAUUUCAAUCAUUGGUCACAAAUGGCCCCAUAGCACAUUUCAUUGUGAUUUUCCAGGUUAGGUUCCAAUUUAAGAAUUUACAUUCUUGCACCUUGAAUCCUUGCUUUUUUUUUUUUUUUUCCAUAUCACUUUCCUUCUACCAUCUAGAGUUAUUUUUCCUGAUUGUUCAAAAUAAUACAUGGGAUCAGGGUUAUGCAUAGAAUAAAUAAAUGGUCCAACUCGCUUAAAAAAAAAAAAAAAAAAAACUCAGAGGAGCCUUUCAUCCUACCAAUAUACCAUCCUGUCUCCUUUUCUUUUCUUCCUUUCUUACCUGAAAUACUGAAUGAAACAUUAUCUUUAGUGAAUUGCCAUUAUAAACAUAUGUUGGUUGCCUGGGAAAAGAAAGGCCCAAAAAUCUCCUUCAGACUUCCUCCAUUACUUAUUGGCAUAGAUUAUUUUAUCUGAUUAGCUAAAACUGUUAGCUUUGAGGUACAGGCCAGUUGUCCUUACCUGACUAGGAUUUCAGGAGGAUCUGGGUAGUGGUUGUAAUAAGUGACUGGGCCGGAGGUGGGGGUGGGGAGGCCACCCAUGACAUGUGGAAAUUCUUGGGCCAGGGAUCAGACCCACACCACAGCAGUGACAAUGCUGGAUCCUUAACCACUAAACCAACCAGGAACUCCCUUAAGGUUCUUUUCAACCCUAAAAUGUUUUAUUACAGGUAGUCUUCCAUAGAAGGAAGAGGGAUUACUAAACAGAAUUGAGGAAGUGAGAUCAUUAAGGAGAAUAACCCAUUACAGUUUUGGCUGGAACUUGUGGGCACAGGUAUGCUUGAGAAAAAUAGACCCUGAUACAAUAUCUAACAAACCACAUACAUCCUAACUUCCAACCCUUACAUUUUUUUUUUUCCUGUGCAAGGGAAGUGGAUUUC